ACCCCGGCGAGGGGAGUGAAAAAGAACCUGAAACCGUGUACGUACAAGCAGUGGGAGCACGCUUAGGCGUGUGACUGCGUACCUUUUGUAUAAUGGGUCAGCGACUUAUAUUCUGUAGCAAGGUUAACCGAAUAGGGGAGCCGAAGGGAAACCGAGUCUUAACUGGGCGUUAAGUUGCAGGGUAUAGACCCGAAACCCGGUGAUCUAGCCAUGGGCAGGUUGAAGGUUGGGUAACACUAACUGGAGGACCGAACCGACUAAUGUUGAAAAAUUAGCGGAUGACUUGUGGCUGGGGGUGAAAGGCCAAUCAAACCGGGAGAUAGCUGGUUCUCCCCGAAAGCUAUUUAGGUAGCGCCUCGUGAAUUCAUCUCCGGGGGUAGAGCACUGUUUCGGCAAGGGGGUCAUCCCGACUUACCAACCCGAUGCAAACUGCGAAUACCGGAGAAUGUUAUCACGGGAGACACACGGCGGGUGCUAACGUCCGUCGUGAAGAGGGAAACAACCCAGACCGCCAGCUAAGGUCCCAAAGUCAUGGUUAAGUGGGAAACGAUGUGGGAAGGCCCAGACAGCCAGGAUGUUGGCUUAGAAGCAGCCAUCAUUUAAAGAAAGCGUAAUAGCUCACUGGUCGAGUCGGCCUGCGCGGAAGAUGUAACGGGGCUAAACCAUGCACCGAAGCUGCGGCAGCGACACUAUGUGUUGUUGGGUAGGGGAGCGUUCUGUAAGCCUGUGAAGGUGUACUGUGAGGUAUGCUGGAGGUAUCAGAAGUGCGAAUGCUGACAUAAGUAACGAUAAAGCGGGUGAAAAGC
rnacentral:rRNA from 1 species